rnacentral:tRNA from 1 species
CGGGGCGUAGCUCAGCCUGGCAAGAGCGCCUGCUUUGGGAGCAGGAGGUCGCUGGUUCGAAUCCAGUCGCCCCGA